rnacentral:rRNA from 1 species
CGGGGGCUCACACAAGCGGUGGAGCAUGUGGAUCAAUUCGAAGCAACGCGAAGAACCUCACCUGGGUUUGACAUGCACGGAUGCUCUUCCUGAAAGGGGAGUAGGCUGCCUUCGGGUGAAACGUGCACAGGUGCUGCAUGGCUGUCGUCAGCUCGUGCUGUGAAGUGUCGGGUUAAGUCCCAUAACGAGCGAAACCCCUGUCGCUAGUUGCCAGCGGGUCAUGCCGGGUACUCUAGCGAGACUGCCGGUGUCAAACCGGAGGAAGGUGGGGACGACGUCAAGUCAUCAUGGCCUUUAUGUCCAGGGUGUCACACGUGCUACAAUGGGGCGGUACAGAGCGA